rnacentral:rRNA from 1 species
UACGGAGGGUGCAAGCGUUAAUCGGAAUUACUGGGCGUAAAGCGCACGUAGGUGGCUUGAUAAGUUGGGUGUGAAAUCCCCGGGCUUAACCUGGGAAUGGCAUUUGGGACUGCAAGGCUGGAGUGCGGCAGAGGAGACUGGAAUUCCUGGUGUAGCAGUGAAAUGCGUAGAUAUCAGGAGGAAUACCGAUGGCGAAGGCAGGUCUCUGGGCUGACACUGACGCUCAUGCACGAAAGCGUGGGGAGCAAACAGG